AUGAUCUGGAACUACUGGCUUCAAGUGUCUUCCCACCUCAGCUUCCCUAGUUGCUGGGAUUACAGGCAUGAGCUACUGUGCCCAGCAAAGCUCAUUGAUUAGUCUGCCUGUCUGUCAAUGCGGUCAAUCAGUUAAUUCAGUGAGAUACUCAGACACUCCAAACAAACUAUUAAUCUGAGGAGACAACCUGAAACACAUGAUUAGCAGCUGAUGUCGUAAGAACAUAAACACUUAGCCAAUCUGUAAUCAAUGGAUUCAUCUCAAUUUAAACUACUGCUUCUUUUAGUGGUAAACAUUGAAGAGCAGGGGAAAUCUGCACCAGGAAACAACAAGUUUCACUAGACUGACAACCUUGGCUGAGCUAGAACUAUGUUUUCAGAAUUUCUCUUCCCUAUCCAGAUCUGGAUUAGAGAUGAACAAAAAGGAAAUUUGUGUGAGAUUUGGAAGGUGGAAAUGAUGCUACUCUGUGAAAGCUGCAUGUAAGUUUGUCUGGUGAGAAAGAGACACAGGUUAACAGAGAGCUCGUCCUCUGUUUCCUUCUUCAUAUCCAGGUUUUGGCCCAACUGGUGGCACUACUGACCAACAUUGACCUUAGGUCCACUCCAGUUUUAGAGGCAACAGUUCACAAACGCUUCCCCUUCACAUGCCCAUUCUGGCAGCUGAACUUGCUGGCUUCCUUGCAAGAUCUGACUUGACCACCUGCUCCAGUGCCCAAGAGGGCUUGUUAGCAGUAUCACUGUGAUAUUUCCCCUCUCACUUUUGUACCAUCAUCUUCUCUUACAAUUACAUAAGGUCUUCCUCCUAAAAUGAAUCCUCUAUUUUACAUGAUUCACAGUAGUUUUGCUUUCCUGAUUGAACCUUAACUAGUAUCUGUACAGUUCAAAUUUGUCAUACAUGACAGGGGAAUGAUAUCCAAAUCACUAUACUUUGGUUUUUCCUAUGAUAGCUGGUGAAUAUGGAGGCUUUGGAGGGGCUAUAGUUUUCAUGUAGAAUGUGAUUAGGAUACUGAAGAAAUUCUUGACAUAUAUUAGGACUCAGAAGCCUAUGCAACUUGGCAUAGGUAUUUUUUGUCUCUUCCUCUGUAUUGUGAAGCCUCCCUGUGCCAUUUAGUUUUUAGGCAGCAGUUCCUGCUUACCAUCCAAACCCCUUUUGAACCUUACAGAAUCCCCAAAAGUCAGCCUUGGCCUUAAGUCCCACAGUACUGUGCUUUACCUAGGGAGCAUGUUAAUUCAUGCAUAAAAAUUAAGGACUCAAGGUACAUUAUAUCACUGUACAUCUGAGUGGAUUUUUUUGUGGCUUAACCUUGAUUUUUAGUGCUAUAACCCAAAUAAAGAAAAAUGCAAGCAUGCAUUGGAGGGUAUUGGGCUGUAAUAAGGUAAUAAAGACUGUUUCAGUGGUAUCAUAUAUAGUGCUUUACAGAAUAUAGGGUAUUUUCACACCUCACCUCAUUUACAGUUCAUGAUCUCUCAUGACAUUAUUAGAGGGUCAGAGAUGUUACAUGCUUGUCCAUGGUUAUUUGUGUGGCUUGGAGGAACCAGAAACCAACCAAGUGUUCAUAUCCUAGUGUUCAUUUCACUGAAAGAUCUGGCUUUUUAAUGAAGCCGUUGGCUCUUCCCAUUCCCAUUCUCAUUACCGCUCAUCUAGGCUGUUGCGGAAGACUCUGCAAUCCUCUUUUCUCCUAUUAUCAGCCCCACUCUUCCUCCCAUUACACCAAUAGGAAAUCAUAAUAGUUUUAUGUUUCUCAUUUUGCAAAUGAGUUUCAAUGGUCCAUCUGCUUGGAUCAAACGCUUCAAGUGCUGUCCCUUUGCUGCAGAACCAGAUAGAUUCUUCUCAACCUUGUAUUGAAGCUCUAGCAGGAUUCCAAUGAGCUUUUUCAAACUUUUUUCCUACCUUUCUUCUAUAAAGACACUUUGUGCUGGCCAAACUGAGUGCAUCACCCCCACUACACACACACACUCACUUCUACAAGGACUUAUAAUAAUAAUAAUCACAACAGCUACCUGCAUUGACCAUUUAGUAGCUGCUGAGUAUCUCACUAGUUCUUUAUCUAUAUUACCCAGGCAAUAACCAUGAGAUGUGCAUUACUAUUGUUUCCAUUUGUAAUGAAGAAAUCAAAGCUGAAGAGGUUAAGUGACUUACUCAAGAUAACAUGGCAGAAAAGUUUAUAUCAGUCCAAUUCUGCUGCUAACUGGACUUCGUCUCUGGCUUCUUCAUUUGGAAAUCUACCUCUUAUGCUAAGUGCCCUUAUAUCACCUGGCGGUUUGCAAAGAGAUUAUUUCUUCAUUACAAGCAGAGUAAAAGGCCUCCUCAAUGCUAAGAGGUGCACUUUCUACUACAACCAAGUGAUCAAAUUUUGCAUCACUCAUAAUGAGACCAACUGAAAUAAUACACCUCUGGAUGACAAAAGAAAGCAUAGAAUAUUACUCAUGUCCUUUUCUUGCCAUAAUGUUUAAUCUUAAUCUAAUCCUGAGGAAACAAUCACAAAGUUCCAACUGGGAACCCUUCUCCAUGGCCUGGGAUCUUCAAGAACGUCAACGUGAUAAAAGUAAAAAAUGUGAGGAAAAUGUUCUAAUUAAAAGAAGCGAGAGAUUGCAUAGUAAACACAAUGUUGGUUUGAUAUUUUAAAACUCAGAUAUAAAAAAUUUUGGGGGGUU
rnacentral:lncRNA from 1 species